rnacentral:rRNA from 1 species
UAGAGUUUGAUCCUGGCUCAGAUUGAACGCUGGCGGCAUGCCUUACACAUGCAAGUCGAACGGCAGCACGGGAGCAAUCCUGGUGGCGAGUGGCGAACGGGUGAGUAAAGUAUCGGAACGUGCCCAGUCGUGGGGGAUAACGUAGCGAAAGCUACGCUAAUACCGCAUACGAUCUAUGGAUGAAAGCGGGGGACCGUAAGGCCUCGCGCGAUUGGAGCGGCCGAUAUCAGAUUAGGUAGUUGGUGGGGUAAAGGCCCACCAAGCCGACGAUCUGUAGCUGGUCUGAGAGGACGACCAGCCACACUGGGACUGAGACACGGCCCAGACUCCUACGGGAGGCAGCAGUGGGGAAUUUUGGACAAUGGGCGCAAGCCUGAUCCAGCAAUGCCGCGUGCAGGAUGAAGGCCUUCGGGUUGUAAACUGCUUUUGUACGGAGCGAAACGGCUCUCACUAAUACUGGGGGCUAAUGACGGUACCGUAAGAAUAAGCACCGGCUAACUACGUGCCAGCAGCCGCGGUAAU